GACGAACGCUGGCGGCGUGCUUAACACAUGCAAGUCGAACGGAAAGGCCCUGCUUUUGUGGGGUGCUCGAGUGGCGAACGGGUGAGUAACACGUGAGUAACCUGCCCUUGACUUUGGGAUAACUUCAGGAAACUGGGGCUAAUACCGGAUAGGAGCUCCUGCUGCAUGGUGGGGGUUGGAAAGUUUCGGCGGUUGGGGAUGGACUCGCGGCUUAUCAGCUUGUUGGUGGGGUAGUUGCUUACCAAGGCUUUGACGGGUAGCCGGCCUGAGAGGGUGACCGGCCACAUUGGGACUGAGAUACGGCCCAGACGCCUACGGGAGGCAGAAGUGGGGAAUAUUGCACAAUGGGCGGAAGCCUGAUGCAGCAACGCCGCGUGCGGGAUGACGGCCUUCGGGUUGUAAACCGCUUUCGCCUGUGACGAAGCGUGAGUGACGGUAAUGGGUAAAGAAGCACCGGCUAACUACGUG
rnacentral:rRNA from 1 species